GAUGAACGCUGGCGGCGUGCCUAAUACAUGCAAGUCGAGCGAACAGACGAGGAGCUUGCUCCUCUGAUGUUAGCGGCGGACGGGUGAGUAACACGUGGAUAACCUACCUAUAAGACUGGGAUAACUUCGGGAAACCGGAGCUAAUACCGGAUGAUAUUUUGAACCGCAUGGUUCAAUAGUGAAAGACGGUUUUGCUGUCACUUAUAGAUGGAUCCGCGCCGCAUUAGCUAGUUGGUAAGGUAACGGCUUACCAAGGCAACGAUGCGUAGCCGACCUGAGAGGGUGAUCGGCCACACUGGAACUGAGACACGGUCCAGACUCCUACGGGAGGCAGCAGUAGGGAAUCUUCCGCAAUGGGCGAAAGCCUGACGGAGCAACGCCGCGUGAGUGAUGAAGGUCUUCGGAUCGUAAAACUCUGUUAUUAGGGAAGAACAAAUGUGUAAGUAACUAUGCACGUCUUGACGGUACCUAAUCAGAAAGCCACGGCUAACUACGUG
rnacentral:rRNA from 1 species